rnacentral:snoRNA from 1 species
CCGUGAUGAUAUAAAACCUUAUAUGUGCUGGAAUUACCGGCAGACUUUUUGCUGUUGAGAUGGUUCUUUCUGAGG